CGAGCGGAACGAGAAGUGCUUGCACUUCGGCGUCGAGCGGCGGACGGGUGAGUAAUGCUUGGGAAUAUGCCUUGAGGUGGGGGACAACAGUUGGAAACGACUGCUAAUACCGCAUAAUGUCUACGGACCAAAGGAGGGGAUCUUCGGACCUUUCGCCUUUAGAUUAGCCCAAGUGAGAUUAGCUAGAUGGUGGGGUAAUGGCCUACCAUGGCGACGAUCUCUAGCUGGUUUGAGAGGAUGAUCAGCCACACUGGGACUGAGACACGGCCCAGACUCCUACGGGAGGCAGCAGUGGGGAAUAUUGCACAAUGGGGGAAACCCUGAUGCAGCCAUGCCGCGUGUGUGAAGAAGGCCUUCGGGUUGUAAAGCACUUUCAGUUGUGAGGAAAGGUUAGUAGCUAAUAACUGCUAGCUGUGACGUUAGCAACAGAAGAAGCACCGGCUAACUCCGUGCCAGCAGCCGCGGUAAUACGGAGGGUGCGAGCGUUAAUCGGAAUUACUGGGCGUAAAGCGUGCGUAGGCGGUUGAUUAAGCGAGGUGUGAAAUCCCGGGGCUUAACCUCGGAACUGCACUUCGAACUGGUCAACUAGAGUUUUGUAGAGGGUGGUGGAAUUUCCAGUGUAGCGGUGAAAUGCGUAGAGAUUGGAAGGAACAUCAGUGGCGAAGGCGGCCACCUGGACAAAAACUGACGCUGAGGCACGAAAGCGUGGGGAGCAAACAGGAUUAGAUACCCUGGUAGUCCACGCCGUAAACGAUGUCAACUAGCUGUCUGUGUACUUGAUACGUGGGUAGCGUAGCUAACGCGCUAAGUUGACCGCCUGGGGAGUACGGGCCGCAAGGUUAAAACUCAAAUGAAUUUGACGGGGGCCCGCACAAGCGGUGGAGCAUGUGGUUAAUUUCGAUGCAACGCGAAGAACCUUACCAUCCCUUGGACAUCCAGCGAAUUUUCUAGAGAUAGAUUAGUGGCCUUCGGGACGCUGAGACAGGUGCUGCAUGCUGUCGUCAGCUCGUGUUGUGAAUGUGGGCUAGUCCGCACGAGCGCAACCUUAUCCUAUUGGCAGCGAUUAGGUCGGAACUCUAGAACUGCGGAAAUGCAGUGUGGACGACGCUCAGUCCA
rnacentral:rRNA from 1 species